UACGUAGGGUGCAAGCGUUGUCCGGAAUUAUUGGGCGUAAAGAGCUCGUAGGCGGUUUGUCGCGUCGGCUGUGAAAACCCGGGGCUCAACCCCCGGGCCUGCAGUCGAUACGGGCAAACUAGAGUGCGGUAGGGGAGACUGGAAUUCCUGGUGUAGCGGUGAAAUGCGCAGAUAUCAGGAGGAACGCCGGUGGCGAAGGCGGGUCUCUGGGCCGUAACUGACGCUGAGGAGCGAAAGCGUGGGGAGCGAACAGG
rnacentral:rRNA from 1 species